AAUCCCAUUAUCUCUUUUACAUCGGCUUCUCCUUUAUUUCUCACUCGAGAAAAACCAAUGGAACUCUCCAUCAUCUCCAUAUCUGCCACCACCAUCUUCAUCUUGUCACUGUCAUAGCCUUUUGAAUUCCUCCACCAUCACGACCAUCACCAUGACUGCAACAUCUUGUAUUCAAUAUCCAAGCAUCUUGUAUUGGAUCUAAAUUUGUAGAAAAUUAUCAGAUCUGUACCAAGUCUUAAUUUUUGGUUGUUUCGAAUCUUAAUAAGAAUACGACGAAGUCGUUUUAUGAGAUUUAUUUUAGGAUUAAGGGCAUGUACAAGCGUGUAUAUGAUGGUUUUGGAUUGAAGGCUCCUGAUGAUGUUUUAUGGGAUAAUCGUGAAGUUGUAGCUGUCGAUGGUUGCAAUGGUGUGUGAUAUUCUGGUAGCUGCGGUUGUGGGUGUUUAUGGCGGACAGUGGUUAUGGUUGCUUUAUGUGGUGGUUUGUGGUUGCAAUGAGGGACUUAAAGUAUAGGGGAGGUGGAAGAUGAUUUUAUGGAGGAGGUGGAAGACGAUCUUAUUACGUGGAGUGGAGGAAUCAUUCCGCUGCUUUGAGUGUUCAAUGAAGCUUGGUCGAGAUAUGUUGGAGGAAGUGAUUUAACUUUGGGUACUUUCCUUUCAUCUUAUUUCUGAACCAACUACCUUUUUGCGAGAUGCAAAAAUUAUAUGUACGUUGAUAUUUUUGAAUGAAACAUGCACUUUUAGCUUCUGAUUUUGAAAACUUGACCAACUUGCCUUUACUUUAAGAUACCACUAGUUUCCUGGAUGGAACACACACUUUAUGGUUGCUGGUGGAAAAGAUGGUAACCAAGAGAUUUUUCCAGUUACAUUUGAAGUUGUUCCUGGCGAAGAUGGUGAUAAACAUCACUGGUUUCUGAACAAUUUGAAGGUGUGGUCGGUGUGGCAUGCUUGUAUAUCAUAAUCAUCAAAUGUUGAAGACCUCCAUUGGUUGCUCAUGCACCAACAUUGCGAAGGCAACUGUAUUCAAACUUCUGGAAGACCAUGUUCCCAUGAAUCUUUGUUUAAGUUGUCACUUUUUUGAACUUCGUAAUGUUUUUUUCAACUUGUUGUCUUUGUCUGGGUAUUUUUUUUCAAUUUUUUUUCCUGAACGUGUUAUGUUGCAGUUGCUAAACAAUAGUUGUCUCAGUUAUUUAUGAAUUGAGUUUUCCUUUUUGUUUUGAA